rnacentral:tRNA from 2 species
UGCACCGUAGCUCAGCCUGGUAGAGCGCUAAACGCGGCCCUCCACAACUUGACCGUGCCUCGCGCGCGGGCCGGAGGGGAGUCGUUAUCAUCAUCCAUGAAGUGGUCGUGGGUUCGAAUCCCACCGGUGCAACCA